AGAGAGGUCAGGGACACGAAGAACUGCUAAUUCUUCCUAUCAUGGCUCAAAUCCAUGGCUCACUCAG
rnacentral:tRNA from 1 species